rnacentral:tRNA from 1 species
UCCGUUAUGGUGCAACGGCUAGCAUACCUCGCUUUCAAUCAGAGAGCGCCGAGGAGGCCGGGGUUCGACUCCCCGUAACGGAA